rnacentral:rRNA from 1 species
CCCGCUCAGAAACUCAAUGAAUUGACGGGACCCCGCACAAGCGGUGGAUCAUGUGGUUUAAUUCGAAGCAACGCGAAGAACCUUACCAGGCCUUGACAUGCAGAGAACUUUCCAGAGAUGGAUUGGUGCCUUCGGGAACUCUGACACAGGUGCUGCAUGGCUGUCGUCAGCUCGUGUCGUGAGAUGUUGGGUUAAGUCCCGUAACGAGCGCAACCCUUGUCCUUAGUUACCAGCACGUUAUGGUGGGCACUCUAAGGAGACUGCCGGUGUUAAACCGGAGGAAGGUGGGGAUGACGUCAAGUCCUCAUGGCCUUUAUGACCAGGGCUACACACGUACUACAAUGGCCGAUACAAAGGGCAGCGACACUGCGAGGUGAAGCCAAUCCCGUAAAAUCGGUCUCAGUCCGGAUUGGAGUCUGCAACUCGACUCCAUGAAGUUGGAAUCGCUAGUAAUCGUGGAUCAGCAUGCCACGGUGAAUACGUUCCCGGGCCUU